UACGGAGGGUGCAAGCGUUAUCCGGAUUCACUGGGUUUAAAGGGUGCGUAGGAGGGCAGGUAAGUCAGUGGUGAAAUCUCCGAGCUUAACUUGGAAACUGCCGUUGAUACUAUCUGCCUUGGAUAUUGUGGAGGUGAGCGGAAUAUGUCAUGUAGCGGUGAAAUGCUUAGAUAUGACAUAGAACACCAAUUGCGAAGGCAGCUUACUACACAAAUAUUGACGCUGAGGCACGAAAGCGUGGGGAUCAAACAGG
rnacentral:rRNA from 1 species